rnacentral:lncRNA from 12 species
AUGACAUGUGGCAGGGUUUCCAACUCAUCAGGAAAAACUUCAGAUCAACUUGUUUCUCUGGAGAAAACUCACAUCCGGGGCUGUUCCUGUUCCCUGGGACUCAUAAAGCUCCUAUCUCCAGGGCACAGUUGCAGGGCCCUGACCUGGAGAGCAUUCACCCUGCAGAGUGCGUACCUGCUCCAGAUGGAAGCGGAGGGUUGCUGCAUUCCAGACUGUUGCAGAGACCCAGCACCGGCAGCAGUCAGUGGUCCCCUGAUCCGUCCGUGGUUUGUGGUUUAUGGCACAAGUUGGGCUUUUUCCCAGGCUUACUGAUCUAAACCUAUUUGCUGCUCCAAUGCUUGGGAACUUGCUGGCAUAGGCAACCCUGUUCUUUCUCUGCCUCUGGGAGUAUUGAAACCUAACUGUCCCUCCUGCAAUUCUGCCCUGUUUCACCACUAAGCACUUUUUAGGCAGGGAAGAUUCUCUUAGGAGCAGAUGUCUAAAGGUCCUGAUUUUGUGCCCCAGUGCUGUAUUACUUUCCUGCAGCUGGCUUGCAAAGGCUCCCUCCCCCAGGCAUUUAACUCCCCAUAUAUCCCCUCCGUUGCUCUUCUCACUUCUACCUUGCAAGAGGUGGUCACUUUUCUAUUUUUGUGUUCCAGCUGUUCUUUCUUUCAUCUCAGGUUGGAUUCAUAGGUGUUCAGAAUGGUUUGAAAGUUAUCUAGCAAAAUUUGGGGGGCCAGAUGAUGUGAGGACACCUACUCUUCUGCCAUACUGCCUCUCUCCCAGAGAAGAAUAGUUUAAAUCAAAUUUUUAGACUUUCUAAAGUUUCAGAAAUUAUCUCAAUGUAUUAAUUGCUUUAUUAAAAAGUUGACUGAAUUUACCACUGAUCUUACAACUCAUUUAUUUAAAUUUGAUCCAACUUUUCAUGGCUUAGAAAAGGAAAAUGUAUAUGCUUUGGAGUGUAACAAGAUGUUAAAUUAGAAGUUUCAUCUAAUUUUACAAAAUAUGUUAAAUAUCUUCCAGUGGAAGUGCUAUACUAUCGGCAAAAAUUUUUAAAGAAAU